rnacentral:rRNA from 1 species
UACGUAGGGUGCAAGCGUUGUCCGGAAUUAUUGGGCGUAAAGAGCUCGUAGGCGGUCAGUCGCGUCUGCUGUGAAAACUCGGGGCUUAGCUCCGGGCCUGCAGUGGGUACGGGGCUGACUAGAGUGCGGUAGGGGGAGACUGGAAUUCUUGGUGUAGCGGUGAAAUGCGUAGAUAUCAAGAGGAACACCUGCGGCGAAGGCGGGUUGCUGGGCCGACACGUGACGCUGACUGCGCGAAAGCUAGGGGAGCGAACGGG